UUAGGUUGUUGUCGUGACUUUUCUACCAAACUCAUCCAAAGUGCAAUAUUGUUGUGUGAUUUUACUUUAUUCACGUGCUUUAGAUAGAUGACAGCACAAAUUACUAUCAAGAUAGUUAAACAGAAACUAAAUUUUAUUUACAAUUUAAGUAUCCAAAUAUUGUAUGCUUUGUCAUUACAUAAUUCAACCGACUAGAUCUACAACAACCUAUUCUCGGGAACCAGGUUCUGUAACCAACAUCCUACAGACACUUGGCUGGCCAACACUAGCAACACGCAGACAAGGAGCCAGGCUUAUACUCCUAUAUAAGAUCCUGCAUGGAGAAGCAUCAGUCAUUAUCCCAGAUUACAUCAGGAGACCAACUGUAACAACCAGACAAUACAACAGGCACAGAGACAGGUUUUCUAGAGUCAGCACUUCAACGGAUGCCUAUAAAUACAGUUUCAUCCCAGAACAAAUUUUUGACUGGAACCAAUUACCUGAAAGUGCCAUCCAAGCCCCCACAACAGAUGCCUUCCGGGUCUGUGUGUGGCAGUUCCUGGCGUAACUAUUGAUACCUGAUUUUAACCCUGUACAGUUGUUGCAAACUCACAUAAUUUUAUUUGAUUUUGUUCCUGUAAAUACCCAAGUUUUUGUUUAUUUUUAACUUGGCGUGUACUGGUUGACACACCCGCACAGUAUAUCUGUGUUAUGGAAAUUUCAACUGCAGAUUAACCACAAAAUAUAGAAGAAGAAGUACAAUAAACACUAGACAACAGGAAUGACAGGAUAUAUCUUCUGGGGGAUGGAUGGUAACUGAAUCAAUACAAAUAGCCUCAUUGAAUUUGAAAAAGCUGCAAAUGAUAUCAGUAACAAAAGAUUGUUAGUGUGCAGUGUGCAGACAGUGGUUAAACAGAAGUUAACAUUCUAUCAGUUUUUGGAUUUUACAAUCAGCUAGAGGAAAUAAUAGGAGAAAAAGGGACCUGUGUGGUAAAAACUUCCUAAAAGUCGUCCUUUAUGUGUUCAACUUUUUCUUUUGGCUGACAGCCCGGUAGCUUUCCUUAAGCAUUAGGGUUAUAUAUCAAGUUCCAGAAGCAUACCUAUAUCAAUCUGCUAGGGAACAGUACUUUCCCUUUGGCAACAUACUUGCUACUAGGAACAGGAGCCUUUAUUAUCUUGUCAGGAAUCAUUAGUUGUACUGGGACAUGUAUAGAAAAUAGAUGUUUUAUGGUUAUGGUUGGAAGAGACUGAUGAACUAUACAUAUCUGGGAUACAGAAUCAAUGAAACAUCGUCAGUACUGAAAGGUCAACAUCAAAGAGGGGUCUGUGCUGUAGACUUCUCAGGUAUUUAUUGUUUGUUCAUUUUCAAUCUUAAUACAAAAAAUUUAUGCAGAUUGAAACAUGACAGGAUAUUUUUGGUGGUUAACCUUGUAAUGAUUUUGACUGGAACAAAAGAAUGGAUGUCAGGAAAAUCAGGAAAAUAAGAUUAUAAGUACAGCUAGUAUGGGAAUAAAACCUGGAAUUUUAUCACCAGAUCUGGUUGGACUUGGAUAUUUGUUGAUUUGUUACUGCCUGAAAAUUAUCUACUACAGUGAUACUUAAUUUAUUGCCACCUUUUGGAACAUGUAAAAUACUAUCGACAAGUCAGGAUGGCAGUAUAUCAAAGUAGAAAUUUAUAUAAUAAACUGCUUCGCUGAGUGCAGCUGGAUACGCCCGCAGAGGUCCAACCCUGAACAGUUGGGGCAAAAAUGGAUACAAUAUUCAAGCUUGAUACAGGUCUGAAUUUGGAUUGUAAUUAAAUAUUUGACAUAUUACAGGUUUCUGAAUAAAUGUAGUCAAAGAACUUGAAAUUGGUUAUAUGAAUUGAAUUUAUAUACAAUUAAAGAUUUCUUGCUGUUGUGCAAUACACUGUGCUGUUGCGCAAUACUUAGUAAAUCUGUUGUCAGACUAUAAACAAAUAAAGUUCAAUUAAUUCUCAAUGUCAUAUUAGAAAUUUAUGAAAAUCAAAAGGGAGCUUACAUCAAUAGAUAUAAACAAUUCACCAAAGUUUCAUGAGAAUUGCUGACAGCAUUUUUGAGUUGUUGUCCGAAAACUGGAAAAUCCCCCCUUUUUUAAUGAAUAAAACCCCAUAACUCAGAAAUGUAAAAUGUAAAAUUUAUAAAAUUCUAAACGGAGCUUACUUAAAUAGAUAUAAACAAUUCACCAUAGUUUCAUAAGAACUGCUGUAAGCAUUUUUGCGUUUUUGUCAGAAAACUGGAAAAUCCCCCUUUUUUAUGAAUAAAAAACCCUGUAACUCGGAAACGUAAAAUCUAAAUUUAUAAAAAUUCAAAGGAGCUCAUGUCAAUAGAUAUAAACAAUUCACCACAAUUUCUUGAAAGUUGAUGAAAGCAUUCUUGAGUUAUUGUCUGAAAACUGGAAAAUCCCCCUUUUUUUAAUGAUAAAACCCCAUAAGUCAGAAACGUAAAAUUUUAAAUUUAUAAAAAACGAAAGGGAGCUCACGUCAAUAGAUAUAAACAAUUCACCAAAGUUUUAUGCAAAUUGGUUAAAGCGUUUUUGAGUUGGUGUCCGACAUGUUGACGACGGACGGAUAGACAGACGGACGGACGGACAGACGGACAACGGUAUACCAUAAUACGUCCCGUAAACGGGCGUAUAAAAACUGCACACAUUUGAGAAAAGUUGACUCUAGGAUUAUUCUGUAAAUUCGUAUUGGCAUGGGUAGGCACCGGACACAUCCAUCUAGAACACCAAUACCAAUAUUUAAUAUUCAAAUAGUUCCAGUGUAAUGCUGUGUGUUAUUCAAGAAAUAGAGUUAAUUAAUUGUCUAUACAAUUUUAUACCCUUAAAGGACACUUGCUGUGACAAAACUCCUGCAACUUUUAUUGUAUUGUACUUUCAAUAUUCGCAUUGCGCAGGCCCAUGCAAAAUCGAUUGUUAUAUAUAGUAAUCCAGCAUACAUCCAAACGUGUAGAGCCGAUUUUAACUUGGGGCCUACUAUAAAUAAUAAAAACGAAUGGCAAUACAACUAUAUCAAAGUAAGAAGAUAUAUAUUCCUUGAUAAUUAUCAGAUGUAGGCUUAUCAGACUUUUCUUCCCCGAUCUUCCUGAUUCGCAGCGGGAGCUUUGCGUGUAUAUAGCCUUUGAUUUUCAUAUAGUGUGAACAAUGUAUUUCUUCCACUGA